GACGAACGCUGGCGGCGUGCUUAACACAUGCAAGUCGAACGGAAAGGCCCUGCUUUUGUGGGGUGCUCGAGUGGCGAACGGGUGAGUAACACGUGAGUAACCUGCCCUUGACUUUGGGAUAACUUCAGGAAACUGGGGCUAAUACCGGAUAGGAGCUCCUGCUGCAUGGUGGGGGUUGGAAAGUUUCGGCGGUUGGGGAUGGACUCGCGGCUUAUCAGCUUGUUGGUGGGGUAGUGGCUUACCAAGGCUUUGACGGGUAGCCGGCCUGAGAGGGUGACCGGACAGGGUGGGAAGGUGAAACGGCCAAGAGUGCUGAGGGAUGAGGGGGUGGGGAAUGUGGCAGAGGGGGCGGAAGGGUGAUGCUGCAGCGGGGUGGGCGGGAUGACGGCUUCGGGGUUAUGAAGCCUGGGCGUCGGGAACGAGGGGGGGGGGAGGGUAGUGGAUAAAAAAGCCCGGGAUAACUCGGGGAGAGGAGCCGGGGUAAGAGCGAAUGGAAAACUGAUGAAA
rnacentral:rRNA from 1 species